GGGAGGGAUGGAAGAGGGUCUGAAAAACAAGAGAUUUCGACUCCCAUCGGAAGAAUCACAUGUAUGACAUACAAAAUUUAAUUAUUACACAAUACAAACUAGACUAAGUGAAAUCCCUGGCCACACUUCACUCUGAAACUGUUUUAUAGCAAAGUCAAUGUUGGAUUUCUUUGACAGACACAAAUGAUGCCCCUGCAGAUGCAAAGUCUUAUUUAAAAAUAACUGUCUAACACUUUACCUUAAAUAUGACAAAGGUAAAUUAUAUUAUCACCCAAAAGAGCAAAUAUAAAUAAGAAUCAAAAUCCUGACCCCAUGCACAAAAAAUGGAAAAACCACCAACUAAGUGAACACUUCCUAGCAUAAAACUGUAGGACAAUUAUCUGUAUGCGAGCUCCCCUUAUGCAAGUAACUACUACAAAAAAUGAUUAAGAGCAAAUAUUAAACAAAAUCAAAACCCUGACCACAUGCACACCUUCAAUACAUGUACAAAGACUACAAACAGACAUCAGAGUGAAAACUUCCUAGAAUUCAAACUGUAGGA
rnacentral:lncRNA from 1 species